AUACGUAGGUCCCGAGCGUUGUCCGGAUUUAUUGGGCGGUAAAGCGAGCGCAGGUGGUUUAAUAAGUCUGAUGUAAAAGGCAGUGGCUCAACCAUUGUGUGGCAUUGGAAGCUGUUAGACUUGAGUGCAGUAGAGGAGAGUGGAAUUCCAUGUGUAGCGGUGAAAUGCGUAGAUAUAUGGAGGAACACCGGUGGCGAAAGCGGCUCUCUGGACUGUCACUGACACUGAGGCUCGAAAGCGUGGGUAGC
rnacentral:rRNA from 1 species